GCGGAUGUAUUACCAGUAGAACGACAAUGCCAGAAAGACAGUUCAAAAAUGUAUAACACUUUUCAUUUCAAUAAUUUCUGGUUACAAUGGCGUGCUCGUGUGAUUACAAGGAAUUCCCAGAGGGAAAUUAGGGUGUAAAGAAAGUAAAGAAGAGGUGGAGACUCCGAGGAGCUGAAGAUCUGGGAUCCCGAAACCUCCAUUCGAAGCGGCUGCAAUCCCGCCGGAAGUGGGUGCUUCCAACCGGAGGCGCCAUCGGCGUCUCACGAAGAAGACGAAGAGCCGGCGCGGAUGAAGAAGAAGUGGACGAAGGAGAAGUCCACACUGCUCCUACCCAGAGGCGCCAUCCACGCCUCACGAAAAAGACGAGGAGCCGCCGCAGACGAAGCUCCCGCUGCCUCCAGGGGAACGCCACCUCCAAGGGAUAUUCCGG
rnacentral:lncRNA from 1 species